rnacentral:rRNA from 1 species
UACGGAGGGGGCUAGCGUUGCUCGGAAUCACUGGGCGUAAAGCGCACGUAGGCGGAUUCUUAAGUCAGGGGUGAAAUCCUGGAGCUCAACUCCAGAACUGCCUUUGAUACUGGGAGUCUCGAGUCCGGGAGAGGUGAGUGGAACUGCGAGUGUAGAGGUGAAAUUCGUAGAUAUUCGCAAGAACACCAGUGGCGAAGGCGGCUCACUGGCCCGGUACUGACGCUGAGGUGCGAAAGCGUGGGGAGCGAACAGG